CCCUUAGAUGUUCUGGGCUGCACGCGUGCUACAAUGGCGUUUCCAGCAAGUCUGCGAACCCGAGAGGGCCAGCGGAUCUUCGAAUUGGCGUCGUGAUCGGGACAGUCGAUUGCAAUUAUUUGACUCAAACGAGGAAUUCCUUGUAAUCGCGAUUCAUCAUAACGCGCUGAAUACGUCCCUGCCCUUUGUACACACCGCCCGUCGCUCCUACCGAUUGAGCGAUCCGGUAAAUGUUUUGGAUUGGUGCCGGGGCGGCUAGCUGCCGGUCGCUACGAAAUUUUGUGAACCUUAUCGCUUAGAGGAAGGAAAAGUCGUAACA
rnacentral:rRNA from 1 species